GGAGGAUUGGCCGAGCGGCCUAAGGCGCACGCUUGGAAAGCGUGUUGGGUUCACGCCCUCGCAGGUUCGAAUCCUGUAUCCUCCGCCA
rnacentral:tRNA from 3 species